rnacentral:lncRNA from 1 species
UACUCUUGUAAGUAGUCUCGGGGCUAAAUCAGAAUUUCCUCAUAACCUCACAACACACACCAGGUGAAAAUCUAGUAAUCCACACUCUCCUACACUGAAUGCCAUCACAGCUAGGAGCAAGAGCCAGUGUUAGGCUGGUGACAAGAUCUACUUGGUAUAUGCCCUUACUCAAUUUUGUUAUAGAAACAGAAGUCUACUCACAGCACCAGGGAGUAGAGGGCAAGGACUAUGCACACUUAAUUUGCAAAUCAUUUCCAGAGGCUUCUAGAAGCUAACAUGUUUGUAAGUAAUUCUUAGAAUUGUGUGUCCCAUUAAUUAAUUCCAUGAGAGAUGAGUGCUUUGUUUCUUUUCCUCAAACUAGGUAACUGUUUCAUUCGGACAAAGUUCUGUAUAAGAUAGUAAAUGGACUCUUUGGAAAGAGAAAGAACAAAUGGUACCUGUAUGACAUAAUUUUUGUAGACAGGAUUUACUAGGUAACCCUGGAUGCUUGACUCCAUUAUAAAUCAGACUGGCCUUAAAAUUAAGAGAAAAAUACCUGACUUUGCCAAGGUCUGAACCAUCAUCUCUGCCUAUAUCAGAUACAUUUGAAAGGAUGCUAAAUUUUCUAUGUUCUUAUUAAAGCUUUCCAAGUAUAUGCUUCUGCAUGUGGCAGACCCAUGUAUAGACUAUAGACAGAAAAGAGCAGUCUAUAAUUCUAUUCUUUUCUGUUUUUGCUUCUAUGGUGGAUAUUUACUUAUGCCACAUCUUUUACAUCUCCCUUAAGUUGGUUGAUAGUCUAAUAUUUUUUAAUUCUUCCCACUCAGCCCUAAAAAUCCAUUUGAGUCUGUUUAGACAAGUGUCUGAGAACUAGAAAAUUUCUGUUGAAUGAGCAAUUAUUUAUAUGCUGCCUAUCUAAGGGAGGUCAUGCUUAUAUGUCUUAUAUGGCUCUUUUCAGACCUGGAUGCCAUGUAUAUUCUCUUGCCAUAUGAUCACAUCUCAAUUAGAAGACUCACACUGGGACAGCAUAUUCAUAACAUCCCCAUAGUAUCCAUGGACAUGGGCACUAAUCAGUGGAACUAUUUUUAGUUUUUUGUCUACCAACUGGUUUACUUCCUUUGAGUUCCCUAGAGGUGUAAGCUAUCAACUCUACUACAACAACAGUUUAGUAAGAGAAACAUGGGUACCUAUAGAGUCCUACCAUUCAUUGUUCCUGAAACUAUUGCUUGGGUAUGCUUGGUCCUCAAAGGUCCUAUUAGGACAUGUUUAUUAAAUAAAUAAACAUGCAGUGUCAUACCUGCAACUGUCAAAUGAAGAUAAUCAAAGGGUGGUACAAGCAAAUGCGACCAUGAUUCAUUUUUUGAAGGAUGGCUGAUUGCUGUUUCCUGUCUCUCUCACAGAUUGGAAAUGUUUUCUUUAAAAGACUCACAGUUUAUCUGAAUUAGUUCUGUAUACAAGUUCUUGUGACUUUCUCAACCCCUCUCUGUCUAUAGCCCCAGCCCUUCUCAUGAAAUUUGUUUUUAAAAUGAUUGCUGUUCUUUCUCAUCUGUGUUCCCAAAUUCAAAAUAGUUGUCCCAUCUAAAAGGAGAGAUAGAUAGAUAGAUAGAUAGAUAGAGAGAGAGAGAGAGAGAGAGAAUUGACAAGGCUGUUCCUCAAAUGUUAUCCAGGAAUCUAUAUCCAUACCUACUUUCUAUGGAGAGAAAUGUUAACACUUUGUGUUAUAAACUCUUUAAAUGCCUCAGACAGGGUUCUACUGAGUGUUUUUGCUAAUUUUUAGUGAUUUCCCCCUCUCAUUUUGCACUACGGUACUCUGUGGAAGAGUAAGACAAGCACAUUUUUGUAGUGAAACAGUGAAGUUUGUGUGCUAGUCCUCUGUUGUUUGUAGUCUGCAAAUGAUUAAGUGAACAUGAGCAAGGUUUAAGUAUCUAUGGGCUUUUGUAUUAGAGUAGCUUUACGGGGUUCUUGCCAAGGAGGAAAAGAGUUUGCAAGGAGCAAGGAACAGCUGCUGAUGCUGAAGAGAGCCAAAGCUUCCACCAUGAAGUAACGAUGGUUCUUCUCCAUAUUUCCCUGGCUCCUAACUCAGGAGUCUCCUUCAUGCAUUUGUCUUACACCUUAGGCAAUAGGAAAUAUUAGUGGCCUUGCAUGAAAAAUAGUUCACAUGACAUUUCACCCUACCUUAGUAAUUUUCAAGCUUUAUGUUUUAGUAUAGUCCAGGGAUGUUUCAGAAUUAUCACCACAGUGAUUUUAUCUGCUCAGUAUGAGCACUCUAAUGUCAGCUUUAAGUAAAAUAAACUAUGAUCAAUAUCCUUAGAUCUGUUUACAUUAAUCAAAUGCUCCAGGGAUAGAAGUAAUGAAACACUGGAUUCAGUCAAGUGGUCCUUUUUUCCCCUUCCUUGGUCAUGCCAUCUACUAUUCAUGUAUAACAAUAGAAUAGUAGAUCACUUUCCAUCCUCUACAAUGUGUACUUCAGAAGGCAACCACCUGACACUCUGUGAGAAGUCUUCCUUUGAGUCUCCUCAGUACCCAAGUAAAGCCUGCAUCUGAUAGCAGAUUCAAAUUAGGAGGCUAGUCCCAAAUUAUAAAGCUAAUGCUUGCCGUGAUAAUGAUCUAGUCAUAAUUUCAUUAGCAUUAUAUUGAGCCAUGCUUCAGAUCCUAGCAGUAAAUCUCAGAAAAC